rnacentral:tRNA from 1 species
AGGGCUGGGGCUCAGUGGUAGAGCACUUGCCUAGCAUGCGUGAGGCACUGGGUUCGAUUCUCGGCAGCACAU